GGAUCCUGAGCGUCCUGCAGAAAGGCUCCAAACUGCAUGUUGAAGACCUUGACGACAGCAAUUCAUAUGUGGUGGCAGUGCUGACAAGCCUUCCACGGAUUGUAAAGGAAGACCCCAGUGCUAUUCUUUCGCCACUGGUGCCAGGAGCCAUGUCUGCACACCCACAUCUUUUUUAUUCUGGCGACAAGCCUGAGGCUUCGAGCACUUUUUUGGUGACAUUUGAGGACCUUAAACUUACAGCCGUUGACAUAACAGAUGGGUUCGCUUUGCUUCUUGCUGCAUAUUGGGCAUUUAAUGUCCAGUAUGCACAAAAAGCAAAGCGAACCUUUCUUCUGCUCGAGACAUUGAUGGGCAUGGAGCCUAGCAGCCUUCUGCCAUGCGUUGUCAAGGCAGCAACUGCCAUUGACAGCGCAUGAAAUGAUUAAUCAGAGAGCAGUAUUUAUUUCUUUUAUAGUUCCUAAUGCAUCUGAUUUUUAAACGUCUUGCCCAGGCAGCCUGUUUUCAAGCUCCAAAGGGUAAGGCCCGACUGGUCGUGCGAGAAACGUUUGUCCUGUGAACUUCAUUCUGCAGGUCCUGUUGAGCCUGUUAUCUCCAUGUCAUUGGGACAUGGUUAAAGGGAUGCCAUACCUGCAAGUGCUAGUUAGCCAGGCUUGUUGGUGUGAUGACAUUGCGGCUACGAUUGCUAAAACA
rnacentral:lncRNA from 1 species